UACGGGGGGAGCAAGCGUUGUCAGGAAUCACGGGGCGUAAAGGGCGUGUAGGCGGUCUGGUAAGUCAGAUGUGAAAUCCCACGGCUUAACCGUGGCAUUGCAUUUGAAACUGCCAGACUUGAGUGCGAGAGAGGGUAGUGGAAUUCCCGGUGUAGCGGUGAAAUGCGUAGAUAUCGGGAGGAAGGUCGGUGGCGAAGGCGGCCUCCUGGGCCUGCACUGACGCUGAGGCGCGAAAGCGUGGGGAGCAAACAGG
rnacentral:rRNA from 1 species